CCUACGGGAGGCAGCAGUGGGGAAUAUUGGGCAAUGGGCGCAAGCCUGACCCAGCAACGCCGCGUGAAGGAAGAAGGCCCUCGGGUUGUAAACUUCUUUUGUCAGGGACGAAGCAAGUGACGGUACCUGACGAAUAAGCCACGGCUAACUACGUGCCAGCAGCCGCGGUAAUACGUAGGUGGCAAGCGUUAUCCGGAUUUCCUGGGUGUAAAGGGCGUGUAGGCGGGGAAGCAAGUCAGAUGUGAAAUUCCAGGGCUCAACCCUGGAGCGGCAUUUGACACUGUUUUUCUUGAGUGAUGGAGAGGCAGGCGGAAUGCCGUGUGUAGCGGUGAAAUGCGUAGAUAUACGGCGGAACACCAGUGGCGAAGGCAGCCUGCUGGACAUUAACUGACGCUGAGGCGCGAAAGCGUGGGGAGCGAACAGGAUUAGAUACCCCAGUAGUC
rnacentral:rRNA from 1 species